CGACAUGUUCAUCUGCUGUGAAUCGCUUUGACCUUUAGUACCCAACAGACUAUCAUCGGAGUGAUAAUCUGUGUUCAUGAUUUCUCCCUUAUGCUGAUUCCCUACGAAACAAGCCACUUGGUUGAUACUUUCUCAGUGGUUUUCUCUUUGAAGAGGAAUAAUCUUGAUAGACAUAUCUAUCACUCAAUAUAUCCUUUUUUGUCAAUGGGUUUUAACUAACCCUUCAUUUCCUUAUAGACCCACC
rnacentral:lncRNA from 1 species